rnacentral:lncRNA from 1 species
AUCAUCACUUAGUUCUACUUCGCAAGCAAAUUUAACUAAAAAGAAAGGAUUUCUGGACGCGGGGAGCUCUAGGAUCAAAAACAUCUUGAUCAUAAACUCACUAUACUUAACAUAAAUUAAACCUUCCCUACUCAAUCAUACCAAAUAAUGUGAAUGCUAUUAAGGUAACUGGAAAAAUAAAAAAAAAAUUGAAAAGAUGUAACGACUUACCUGAUA